GGAAUUACAAAUUUCUCUUAGCACAAUCGAAGAACUCCCUGUUCCAGUGCUGAUCUACAACACGAAGGCAACUGCUGAAGAAAAGUCAAAGAAACGAAAUUCUAUUCUUUUCCCCCGUGGAGCAGUUAAUGACCAAACGCAUUUAGAACGUUUUGGAUAUUUUCCGGGGAAACCCGGAGAGGAAAUUGUACCAUAUACACAAACAAAACAUCAUUUUACUCCGAUCUACAGUUGUCCAGGUAAGGGCGAAGGAAGUCGGAGAAGAGAGAAUAUGCCCUUC